ACAGGAGGGUGAGGGCCCCUCUCCACCUGUACAUACAAACAACUGUGUAAUGCCUGAAGGCCCCACAGGAGGUCUGGGGGCUGGGACUAAGUGCCUGUGAAGGCUGGCUCAGCGCUCAGUAGGACCACACACAGCUGCGUUGCCCCCUGAACUGAACUCGCAUCCCUCUUGUCUCAUGGCAGCAGCCGGGCACUCCUGCUCCCCACUGAAGCUCUGCUGUAGUGCAGUUAAAUUCAGGCUGUAAGGCCAGACGUGGGCCGUGUGUUGGAGCACAGUCAGAAAAGGAGGAGCAUUGCUGGCGGCUCUGUGUUCCUGCUGCAGUGACCCCUAAUUACUGGUCUGGCUUGGUCCAGAGACUCUUCUAGUUGGAGUUUAAAUUUGCCAUCACGAUGGGCAGAAAAAUGCACAGCAAAUCACAGGCCUUGACAACUUAGGAUUUGGGAUUUUAUUGCCUUCCUCACACUGUGUAGCAAUACAAUUCUCUCUUUCUCCGUGUUUUAUGUGAAAGUUUGCCACAUCUUGCUGGGGGCAGGGACGAGACUUGCACCAAACAGCCAGCCCAGUGCAGGCAGGCUCCUGAGCAUUCGGAGGGAUAAAUCUUGACCUCCUGUCUGCAGCAGCUUUGUUUUAUGUGCCUGUUAUGUGAAGUGUAAUAUAACAAACUUUGUGGUAUUUGUAAACAGCAUUGCAAGGAAGAUGCAGGCGAUGAGGGCAAAAAGACCAGCACACUGUUCUGCCUUCUACCUUGAACAGUUUGAGAAGAGAGAGUUGAGGGGAAAACCUAACUUGCUUAAGAGAAUAAAAGCCACUCUACAUGUCAAGUAUACACACAGGGCCAUAAAUUACUGAGAAGGUGCUGCUGAGGUCAGUGAUUGUGAGGGUGUGUAGGUAGAGGGGUGCUCAGAACAGAAAAGAGAACAUUGCAGCACGGUGACGCCAUGCCACAGAGUGGAGAGGGGCUGCAGUGAAAUUGCAGUGUGAAUACUCUAGCUGUAAAUUUUUAGUUAAGGCUCCUAUCAUAUGCUUCUAUUUUUAACACAGUUAAAAUUAAACUCUGCAGCCAAGGCUGAGCGCUAGAAAUUCUUUCUUCGCUACUUCAGCUUUGCCAGCAUCUUUUUUGUCAACUUUCUUCUCCUCUUCCACAGCCCCGGGUAUGGGAUACCUCAGCUAUAGGGGAUGGUAAGUAUCAUCUCUCUGCCUCAGGGGUGACCUCCUACAGGACUUUCAACGGUUAGAUGAGCUUGUCAUGACAGUGUCUGGUGUCAGCUUUUAAUUUGCAAGUAUUUUCCUCGUCCCUCUAUUCAUGGACGGCUACUGCUGAAAAUCUGCACGAAGCUGUCCUUAACUCACCCUGCCUGGUGCUGCUGCACAGAUGGCACCUGCACUCAGUAGCUCAGGGAGCCCGGCUGUGGCUAAGGAAGGCUUACCAGUUAGGGGCAAAGCCUCCACCUUAAUUCUCGAGUUCCUAGCCUUGAUACAGCUGUGUUUAGAACAGCCUCCUGGUCUGUAGCACAUGCUGACACUAAGCACUUCAUCGCCAGGUUCUGCAUUUUAUCUUGCUGGACCUAGCUGUCCUCUGGUUUUGGGGGGUGGUUGCUUUUUAAUUAUUAUUUAUUUAGUCUUUGCAAUAGCAAAUACUGAAUUCCUUGAGGCUACUUCUGUCUUUUAAUAUGCUUUGCAGACUAUUGCUAUACAAAGCUAAGCCAAAGCUGCUCUUGUGCUCAGUAUAAAGUUUACUUCUGGGAUAUUUAGAAUUUGCCUUUAGCUCCAUUUAGGACACAGUGAGGUGGCAUGAAUUUUGGUUGUAUGGGUUUGAUCAAGAUGGUGCUGCAUGACUGAUGAGCCCUUUACCGCAGGCUGCCGUAGUCAGAACCAUGUGAGCUGGCCACACUGAGCUUUCCUACCUCUAGGUCCUGCUGCCAGCUCAGACUGCUUCGAAGCUGAUAGCUGGUAUCUCCACAAAUGUUAAAAAGAUCCAUCAUCUGGAACUCCUCUGACUCAAAAACACUUCUCUUCCUAUCAUAAAGAAAUUUACAUUUUGUGUGUGUCUGCAGAAGACUUGUUUAAAAAUUCAACAAGUGACUGGUUCUUAAUAUAGUUCAAAAUUUAUAGGCUGUGGCUGAUCUUUGCCUUCCCUCAAAGAGAA